rnacentral:rRNA from 1 species
UACGUAGGGGGCGAGCGUUGUCCGGAUUUAUUGGGCGUAAAGAGCGUGUAGGCGGCCAAGUAAGUCCGGUGUGAAAACUCGAGGCUUAACCUCGAGAUGUCAUCGGAAACUAUUUGGCUAGAGUCCGGAAGAGGAGAGUGGAAUUCCUGGUGUAGCGGUGAAAUGCGCAGAUAUCAGGAAGAACACCGAUGGCGAAGGCAGCUCUCUGGGACGGUACUGACGCUGAGACGCGAAAGCGUGGGGAGCGAACAGG